UAUGAGUUGGGGUUGGGUUAAUGAUAGAGGUUGUUGUUGGGGUAGUGGUAGGGGUUGUUGUUGGGGUAAUGGUAGGGGUUGUUGUUGGGGUAAUGGUAAGGGUUGUUGUUGGGGUAAUGGUAAGGGGUGUCAUUGGGGUAAUGGUAAGGGUUGUCAUUGGGGUAAUGGUAGGGGUUGUUGUUGGAGUAAUGGUAGGGGUUGUUGUUGGGGUAAUGGUAAGGGUUGUCGUUGGAGUAAUGGUAGGGGUUGUUGUUGGGGUAAUUGUAGGGGUUGUUGUUGGGGUAAUGGUAGGGGUUGUUGUUGGAAUAAUGGUAGGGGUUGUUGUUGGGGUAAUUGUAGGGGUUGUUGUUGGGGUAAUGGUAAGGGUUGUCGUUGGGGUAAUGGUAAGGGUUGUCGUUGGGGUAAUGGUAGGGGUUGUUGUUGGGGUAAUGGUAGGGGUUGUUGUUGGGGUAAUGGUAAGGGUUGUUUGGGGUAAUGGUAAGGGUUGUCGUUGGGGUAAUGGUAGGGGUUGUUGUUGGGGUAAUGGUAGGGGUUGUUGUUGGGGUAAUGGUAAGGGUUGUCGUUGGGGUAAUGGUAAGGGUUGUUGUUGGGGUAAUGGUAGGGGUUGUGGUUGGGGUAAUGGUAGGGGUUGUUGUUGGGGUAAUGGUAGGGGUUGUCGUUGGGGUAAUGGUAGGGGUUGUUGUUGGGGUAAUGGUAGGGGUUGUCAUUGGGGUAAUGGUAGGGGUUGUUGUUGGGGUAAUGGUAGGGGUUGUUGUUGGGGUAAUGGUAGGGGUUGUUGUUGGGGUAAUGGUAGGGGUUGUUGUUGGGGUAAUGGUAGGGGUUGUUGUUGGGGUAAUGGUAGGGGUUGUGGUUGGGGUAAUGGUAGGGGUUGUUUGGGGUAAUGAUUUG
ensembl:lncRNA